UACAGAGGGUGCGAGCGUUGUCCGGAAUCACUGGGCGUAAAGGGCGCGUAGGUGGCGACCCAAGUCGAUGGUGAUAGCUCGCCGCUCAACGGCGAGUCGGCCACUGAUACUGGGUUGCUGGAGCACUGUAGAGGCAGAUGGAAUUCCGGGUGUAGCGGUGGAAUGCGUAGAGAUCCGGAAGAACACCGGUGGCGAAGGCGGUCUGCUGGGCAGUUGCUGACACUGAGGCGCGACAGCGUGGGGAGCAAACAGG
rnacentral:rRNA from 1 species